rnacentral:rRNA from 1 species
UAUCUCUGUAGAGUCUGCAUAUCAAUAAGCGGAGGAAAAGAAACUAACAAGGAUUCCCCUAGUAACGGCGAGUGAAGCGGGAAGAGCUCAAAUUUGAAAUCUUAAAGGGUUUCCCCUUACGAAUUGUAGUUUAAAGAAGUGUUUUCUGUUGAGGUUUUGGUAAAAGUUCUUUGGAAUAGGACAUCAUAGAGGGUGAGAAUCCCGUAUUUGACCUUUACUUUCAACUUUGUGAUACACUUUCAAAGAGUCGGAUUGUUUGGGAAUGCAGUCCAAAAUGGGUGGUAAAUUUCAUCUAAAGCUAAAUAUUGGCGAGAGACCGAUAGCGAACAAGUACCGUGAGGGAAAGAUGAAAAGAACUUUGAAAAGAGAGUUAAACAGUACGUGAAAUUGUCAAAAGGGAAGCGUUUGACACCAGUGUUGUUUUUCUGAAAAUCAAUUAAAGAACUGUUUAUGCUAAGUCUGUUUAGACUUUAUCAGCUAUCUGUUUAGUUUUGAGCUUUUCUUUAAUGCACUUUUCAGUUAACAAGUCAACAUCAACUUCUUUUGCUGUAAAAAAGCUUGAGGAAGGUGGCUUGAGAUUCGUCUUAAGUGUUUAUAGCCUCUUGCCUAUGCAGUCGGAGAGAUUGAGGUCUGCAGCGUAGAUCCUUCGGGGCUAAAUGCAUUUGUGCUAAGUUAUAACAUUUUAUAGACAACUUGUUGACUAUGAGUUUGUCUUGUAGCUUACUCGCUUAUGUUAUUUUACCUACGCUUAGGAUGUUGAAGAUGUAGCACAUCAU